GGCCCUAGAAAGCCCCGCGGGCA
rnacentral:tRNA from 2 species